AUUGAACGCUGGCGGCAUGCCUUACACAUGCAAGUCGAACGGUAACGGGCCUUCGGGUGCCGACGAGUGGCGAACGGGUGAGUAAUGUAUCGGAACGUACCUUUCAGUGGGGGAUAACGUAGCGAAAGUUACGCUAAUACCGCAUAUUCUGUGAGCAGGAAAGCAGGGGAUCGCACGACCUUGCGCUGAUUGAGCGGCCGAUAUCAGAUUAGCUAGUUGGUGCGGUAAAGGCUCACCAAGGGGACGAUCUGUAGCGGGUCUGAGAGGAUGAUCCGCCACACUGGAACUGAGACACGGUCCAGACUCCGACGGGAGGCAGCAGUGGGGAAUUUUGGACAAUGGGGGCAACCCUGAUCCAGCCAUGCCGCGUGAGUGAAGAAGGCCUUCGGGUUGUAAAGCUCUUUCGGCCGGGAAGAAAUCGUAUCAGCUAAUACCUGGUGCGGAUGACGGUACCGGCAUAAGAAGCACCGGCUAACUACGUGCCAGCAGCCGCAGUAAUAC
rnacentral:rRNA from 1 species